UUUUGAUAGUUUUAUACAUGUGGGAAAGUUCGAUUCACGAUAUGGAUUAAUUGUAUAAUUCACCCCCACUCCAACCCAUUUUGGCCUUCUGGGAAUCUGUAUUUAUUGUCCACAAAAGGUUUAAUCUUUAUUUGUCAUAGAAUAUAGUAGCUGACGCUGUUGAUUUUGUGUGUUGAAACAGGCCACCAUAGCUGAGAGAGCAAAUGCCUUCAGGCUACAGUGUUGCUAUCUGAAACUGCUGUUAGGCUGGUGUAUUUGUAUGUGAACAACAUAUAAGUAGUAGCUACUGUCAAUCUGUAGUUUAAGUAAAACAAAAUUGGUUCAGAAAAAAAAGAAUUGCAAAAUAGUGCAGAUGAUAACCAUUUCAUUUAACUGAAGUAGGACUUGCCUACAUUGGUAACCAAACCUCAAUUUGGAGACACUGCUUACCAAGAAAGUUUCUGGGUUUACUUCCUAUACAAUAAUAUCUUAAUUUAAGGCAAGGUCUGAAAAGACCCAAGAUUUUACGAGAAAAAGAUGAGUGAGUGUGAACAUGGAGUACAGGAAGCUCAAAGAUCAGGAUGAAAAUGGAAAUUCAGCUGCCGACGACAUAAAAAAUUUACGGGGAAAUCCGCUUUCUAUUGCGCCAACUAUGGGAGAUGGGUCAAUAGACCAAAAAUGGAAGCACAAGUAUGAUUGAAGUAGAGGAGCUUCAGCCAUAUUCACAUGGAUAUACAGAGCUAAACUUUUUCUGAAGGAUGAGGGAACAAUGAUGUGACCCACAUUGACACCAUAUUCAAACCUCUGCUUAAUUAAGAUGGCAGAAAAGAAUGCAGUGGAGGAUUUUAAUCGAGGAAGCUGAGAAUAAGUAGGACGACGACAUGUGGACAUCAGUGAACAACCAAAGAAAUAAGCUUUUCCAGAGAUGGAUGUCCAAGGAUGCUAUUGAUUUAUUUUGAUUGAGGUGAGAGGGAAUCUAGAAGACAAUUAUCUCAGUUCUUGAUAGUGCUCAUGGCCUCUGUAAGUGUGGCUCCUUCAUCUGGAUUAGGAGACGGCAGUGGAAAUACGGUUGCCCAGUGAGAUGAAUAACAUGAAAAUUAGGGAUGACGUACAAGAUAAACAAUACCCACUUAUUAUUGGCUCAAUCUUUGAUCCUGCUGUGGACUUUUCAAAAGGUGUAUUCUUCUUUUCUUA